AUCCCACCCAGAACACCACGUAACAUUUAGUUGUCUAACAUCUCCUUAGGCUUUCUUGCUAUGAGAGUUUCUCGAACUUUCCUUGUUUUUGAUGAUCUUGAGAGGUUUACUCAUCAGGCAGUUUCUCUACCACUAGCGCCACCUGGGUGAUACACUGCUGCUGCUGCUGCUGCUAAGUUGCUUCAGUCGUGUCCGACUCUGUGCCACCCCAUAGACGGCAGCCCACCAGGCUCCUCUGUCAGAUUAGAGCAGAGGCUACAGAAGAAAGAAAAAGAAAGAAAGAAAGGAGGAAGGGAGGAAGGAAAGAGGAAGACAGAGAGAACGAAAGAAAAAGGAAGGAAGGAAGAAAACCAACCUGGAGAUAACUCAUAGCCUCAUAGCAAGCGCCAUAUGAGUCAUUUAAGAAAAAAAAAAAAAAAAAAGAGCCACCACAACCUUCAGCAGAAGAGAACCAUUGAGCUCAAGUUGGGAAAAAAAAUAUGUAUGUAUGUAUGUGUG
ensembl:lncRNA